GCUAAACGCGAAGAACCUUACCAAGGCUUGACAUAUACGGGAAUGGGCCAGAAAUGGUCAGCUCUUUGGACACUCGUAUACAGGUGGUGCAUGGUUGUCGUCAGCUCGUGUCGUGAGAUGUUGGGUUAAGUCCCGCAACGAGCGCAACCCUCGUUCUAUGUUGCCAGCACGUUAUGGUGGGAACUCAUGGGAUACUGCCGGGGUCAACUCGGAGGAAGGUGGGGAUGACGUCAAAUCAUCAUGCCCCUUAUGUCUUGGGCUUCACGCAUGCUACAAUGGCCGGUACAAUGGGCUGCGAUACCGUGAGGUGGAGCGAAUCCCAAAAAGCCGGUCCCAGUUCGGAUCGUAGUCUGCAACUCGACUACGUGAAGUCGGAGUCGCUAGUAAUCGCAGAUCAGCAACGCUGCGGUGAAUACGUUCCCGGGUCUUGUACACACCG
rnacentral:rRNA from 1 species